UUAAGCGACUAAGCGUACACGGUGGAUGCCCUGGCAGUCAGAGGCGAUGAAGGACGUGCUAAUCUGCGAUAAGCGUCGGUAAGGUGAUAUGAACCGUUAUAACCGGCGAUUUCCGAAUGGGGAAACCCAGUGUGAUUCGUCACACUAUCAUUAACUGAAUCCAUAGGUUAAUGAGGCGAACCGGGGGAACUGAAACAUCUAAGUACCCCGAGGAAAAGAAAUCAACCGAGAUUCCCCCAGUAGCGGCGAGCGAACGGGGAGGAGCCCAGAGCCUGAAUCAGUGUGUGUGUUAGUGGAAGCGUCUGGAAAGGCGCGCGAUACAGGGUGACAGCCCCGUACACAAAAAUGCACAUGCUGUGAGCUCGAUGAGUAGGGCGGGACACGUGGUAUCCUGUCUGAAUAUGGGGGGACCAUCCUCCAAGGCUAAAUACUCCUGACUGACCGAUAGUGAACCAGUACCGUGAGGGAAAGGCGAAAAGAACCCCGGCGAGGGGAGUGAAAAAGAACCUGAAACCGUGUACGUACAAGCAGUGGGAGCCUCUUUAUGGGGUGACUGCGUACCUUUUGUAUAAUGGGUCAGCGACUUAUAUUCUGUAGCAAGGUUAACCGAAUAGGGGAGCCGAAGGGAAACCGAGUCUUAACUGGGCGUUAAGUUGCAGGGUAUAGACCCGAAACCCGGUGAUCUAGCCAUGGGCAGGUUGAAGGUUGGGUAACACUAACUGGAGGACCGAACCGACUAAUGUUGAAAAAUUAGCGGAUGACUUGUGGCUGGGGGUGAAAGGCCAAUCAAACCGGGAGAUAGCUGGUUCUCCCCGAAAGCUAUUUAGGUAGCGCCUCGUGAAUUCAUCUCCGGGGGUAGAGCACUGUUUCGGCAAGGGGGUCAUCCCGACUUACCAACCCGAUGCAAACUGCGAAUACCGGAGAAUGUUAUCACGGGAGACACACGGCGGGUGCUAACGUCCGUCGUGAAGAGGGAAACAACCCAGACCGCCAGCUAAGGUCCCAAAGUCAUGGUUAAGUGGGAAACGAUGUGGGAAGGCCCAGACAGCCAGGAUGUUGGCUUAGAAGCAGCCAUCAUUUAAAGAAAGCGUAAUAGCUCACUGGUCGAGUCGGCCUGCGCGGAAGAUGUAACGGGGCUAAACCAUGCACCGAAGCUGCGGCAGCGACACUAUGUGUUGUUGGGUAGGGGAGCGUUCUGUAAGCCUGCGAAGGUGUACUGUGAGGUAUGCUGGAGGUAUCAGAAGUGCGAAUGCUGACAUAAGUAACGAUAAAGCGGGUGAAAAGCCCGCUCGCCGGAAGACCAAGGGUUCCUGUCCAACGUUAAUCGGGGCAGGGUGAGUCGACCCCUAAGGCGAGGCCGAAAGGCGUAGUCGAUGGGAAACAGGUUAAUAUUCCUGUACUUGGUGUUACUGCGAAGGGGGGACGGAGAAGGCUAUGUUGGCCGGGCGACGGUUGUCCCGGUUUAAGCGUGUAGGCUGGUUUUCCAGGCAAAUCCGGAAAAUCAAGGCUGAGGCGUGAUGACGAGGCACUACGGUGCUGAAGCAACAAAUGCCCUGCUUCCAGGAAAAGCCUCUAAGCAUCAGGUAACAUCAAAUCGUACCCCAAACCGACACAGGUGGUCAGGUAGAGAAUACCAAGGCGCUUGAGAGAACUCGGGUGAAGGAACUAGGCAAAAUGGUGCCGUAACUUCGGGAGAAGGCACGCUGAUACGUAGGUGAAGCCCCUUGCGGAUGGAGCUGAAAUCAGUCGAAGAUACCAGCUGGCUGCAACUGUUUAUUAAAAACACAGCACUGUGCAAACACGAAAGUGGACGUAUACGGUGUGACGCCUGCCCGGUGCCGGAAGGUUAAUUGAUGGGGUUAGCGGUAACGCGAAGCUCUUGAUCGAAGCCCCGGUAAACGGCGGCCGUAACUAUAACGGUCCUAAGGUAGCGAAAUUCCUUGUCGGGUAAGUUCCGACCUGCACGAAUGGCGUAAUGAUGGCCAGGCUGUCUCCACCCGAGACUCAGUGAAAUUGAACUCGCUGUGAAGAUGCAGUGUACCCGCGGCAAGACGGAAAGACCCCGUGAACCUUUACUAUAGCUUGACACUGAACAUUGAGCCUUGAUGUGUAGGAUAGGUGGGAGGCUUUGAAGUGUGGACGCCAGUCUGCAUGGAGCCGACCUUGAAAUACCACCCUUUAAUGUUUGAUGUUCUAACGUUGGCCCCUGAUCGGGGUUGCGGACAGUGUCUGGUGGGUAGUUUGACUGGGGCGGUCUCCUCCUAAAGAGUAACGGAGGAGCACGAAGGUUGGCUAAUCCUGGUCGGACAUCAGGAGGUUAGUGCAAUGGCAUAAGCCAGCUUGACUGCGAGCGUGACGGCGCGAGCAGGUGCGAAAGCAGGUCAUAGUGAUCCGGUGGUUCUGAAUGGAAGGGCCAUCGCUCAACGGAUAAAAGGUACUCCGGGGAUAACAGGCUGAUACCGCCCAAGAGUUCAUAUCGACGGCGGUGUUUGGCACCUCGAUGUCGGCUCAUCACAUCCUGGGGCUGAAGUAGGUCCCAAGGGUAUGGCUGUUCGCCAUUUAAAGUGGUACGCGAGCUGGGUUUAGAACGUCGUGAGACAGUUCGGUCCCUAUCUGCCGUGGGCGCUGGAGAACUGAGGGGGGCUGCUCCUAGUACGAGAGGACCGGAGUGGACGCAUCACUGGUGUUCGGGUUGUCAUGCCAAUGGCACUGCCCGGUAGCUAAAUGCGGAAGAGAUAAGUGCUGAAAGCAUCUAAGCACGAAACUUGCCCCGAGAUGAGUUCUCCCUGACUCCCUGAGAGUCCUGAAGGAACGUUGAAGACGACGACGUUGAUAGGCCGGGUGUGUAAGCGCAGCGAUGCGUUGAGCUAACCGGUACUAAUGAACCGUGAGGCUUAACCUU
rnacentral:rRNA from 2 species